CUGAUUCAGGCGAAUUGUUCACUGCGGCGCACCGAGUACGGCGGAAAAUCGAAGCGGUCCGGGGAAAACUCCUUGGGAAAAGUCGCGCGCGCGUUUCGCGUUCCUUAUCAUCAUCAUCGUACGAAACACGGCCAGUGAAAGUGAAAAGUUAUUGCGAGAGUGAAAGCAAAACUCGGGGAAAGCAGCUAAAAAUAAAAAGCGUAACAAACACACAGAUAAAUCACAAGUUGCGAAUAAACAAAAGCCAGGGGAAUCGCCCAAUAAAAAAAGGAAUCGCGCGGCUCAAACAAAUUUGUGAUAUGCGUUUGAACAUAUUCGUUGUGAAAGUGAAUUAAAUACGCCAGGCAACGCGUUUCAAUUAAGCGAAAACCGAAUAC